rnacentral:misc_RNA from 1 species
AUCAUAUUAAUGCUCAUCUUUUUCUAUUUUAAUAAUCUUUAUGAUGCUACUCUGGAUGUUACUAUACUAAUUUUCAAAUUCUCCUGGAAGUGGUUUCAUGUAAACAAUAACAUCGAUAUUAUUAUUUUAAUUGUCAGAAAUUAGAAUUCUCUUACUCUGAAAAAGAGAGGUAAUUGCUUAUAAACCAGCUUUGCCUUGCAGUCCCUGGA